rnacentral:rRNA from 1 species
CCCUUAGAUGUUCUGGGCUGCACGCGUGCUACACUGAUAUUGCCAAUAUGUCAUUCUUAUCCGAAAUGGAUUGGGUAAUCAAGUAAUGAAAUUUCAUGCUUGGAAUCGGUAAUUGCAAUUUUAUCGUGAACGAGGAAUUCCUAGUAAGCACUAGUCAUCAGCUAAUGUUGAUUAUGUCCCUGCCCUUUGUACACACCGCCCGUCGCUACUACUGAUUGGGUGUUCAAGUGAGAUGCUUAGACCCUUGUUGCAUGGUUCAUUAUUGUGCUCCGAAAGGAAAGAGUUUCAAGCUUGAGUGUCUAGAGGAAGUAAAAGUCGUAACA